rnacentral:rRNA from 1 species
CACGCAGUAAACGAUGCACACUAGGUGGUGGGCGGUAGCGCUCAGUACCGUAGCGAACGCGUUAAGUGUGCCGCCUGGGGAGUAUGCUCGCAAGGGUGAAACUCAAAGGAAUUGACGGGGGCCCGCACAAGCGGUGGAGCAUGUGGUUUAAUUCGAUGGUACGCGAGGAACCUUACCAGGGCUUGACAUGGGGCGGAGCGGGCGUGAAAGCGUCCGGCCCUUCGGGGCCGUCCCACAGGUGC